rnacentral:rRNA from 1 species
AUUGAACGCUGGCGGCAUGCUUUACACAUGCAAGUCGAACGGUAACAGCACUUCGGUGGCCGACGAGUGGCGAACGGGUGAGUAAUACAUCGGAACGUGCCUAGUAGUGGGGGAUAACUACUCGAAAGAGUAGCUAAUACCGCAUGAGAUCUAAGGAUGAAAGCAGGGGACCUUCGGGCCUUGCGCUACUAGAGCGGCUGAUGGCAGAUUAGGUAGUUGGUGGGAUAAAAGCUUACCAAGCCGACGAUCUGUAGCUGGUCUGAGAGGACGACCAGCCACACUGGGACUGAGACACGGCCCAGACUCCUACGGGAGGCAGCAGUGGGGAAUUUUGGACAAUGGGCGCAAGCCUGAUCCAGCAAUGCCGCGUGCAGGAUGAAGGCCUUCGGGUUGUAAACUGCUUUUGUACGGAACGAAAAGCCCUCUUCUAAUACAGGAGGGUCAUGACGGUACCGUAAGAAUAAGCACCGGCUAACUACGUG